CGUGUGGUGUCCGGCAAAGAAUCGGAUAGCGACACGGCCUAUAUUUUAGAGGU
ncrna:Vibrio caribbeanicus ATCC BAA-2122 L31-Gammaproteobacteria ribosomal protein leader